AUUGGAUUGAGAACAACGUACAAACCUUAUCGAUAAACAAUUGGAGGGCAAGUCUGGUGCCAGCAGCCGCGGUAAUUCCAGCUCCAAUAGCGUAUAUUAACGUUGUUGCAGUUAAAAAGCUCGUAGUUGAAAUGAAGGGUAGUUGUGUAAUGAAUACAUUCGUGUAUUUUGUUAUUCUACUACCCUCCUUCUAAAUUCGAUAUAUGAGUAUUAAUUUACUUGUAUAUGGUUUUAGACCUUUACUGUGAGAAAAUUAGAGUGUUCAAAGCAGGCAUUUGCUUGAAUAUAUUAGCAUGGAAUAAUCAUGUAUGAUUUUCAUGAUGUAUUUGAUUGGUUUGGUUCAUGAGAAUAAGAUUAAAAGGGACAGUUGGGGGUAUUCAUAUUCAAUAGUCAGAGGUGAAAUUCUCGGAUUUAUGGAAGAUGAACAAGUGCGAAAGCAUUUACCAAGGAUGUUUUCAUUAAUCAAGAACGAAAGUUAGGGGAUCGAAGAGGAUUAGAUACCCUCGU
rnacentral:rRNA from 1 species